GUGAAUAUAGUCGAAUGGUAAAAUUUCUCUUUGCCAAGGAGAAGACGCGGGUUUGAUUCCUAUUAUCCGUC
rnacentral:tRNA from 1 species